CCUACGGGCGGCUGCAGUGAGGAAUAUUGGUCAAUGGGCGCAAGCCUGAACCAGCCAAGUCGCGUGAGGGAUGACGGUCCUAUGGAUUGUAAACCUCUUUUGUCGGGGAGCAAGGCCCGCCACGUGUGGCGGGAAGGAGAGUACCCGAAGAAAACGCAUCGGCUAACUCCGUGCCAGCAGCCGCGGUAAUACGGAGGAUGCGAGCGUUAUCCGGAUUUAUUGGGUUUAAAGGGUGCGUAGGCGGAAGGUUAAGUCAGCGGUAAAAUGGCGGUGCUCAACACCGGCCUGCCGUUGAAACUGGUCUUCUUGAGUGAGCGAGAGGUAUGCGGAAUGCGUGGUGUAGCGGUGAAAUGCAGAGAUAUCACGCAGAACUCCGAUUGCGAAGGCAGCAUACCGGCGCUCAACUGACGCUGAGGCACGAAAGCGUGGGGAUCGAACAGGAUUAGAUACCCGAGUAGUC
rnacentral:rRNA from 1 species